CUGGUGAGGAUGUAACACCUCCCCCCUUAGAAUUCGAGCGUCCUCGCUUGAAGUAAAGCGGGAGCUGUCGUACCGACAUGAAUAUUCUGGAACUAUCUUAUGGAUAUUCGGGCUUAAAAUAUAACUUAUGAUUAACGAGAAUAAUAUGAAUGAUGAGUUUUAAUUACAUGAUUAUGGACUAAUGGAUAGUAUUCUAGGUUUGGUUACAUGAUUCAGUAUAGUGUGGUGUAACAAUUUUGAUACAGAUGUAAUUUUGAAGAGUAGUUAACGAUUACAUUUUUGGGGGUAUUUAUCGCGUACAAAUAAGCUAUACCAUUGUUAUUUGUUACAAUGGCUUCACCAGCAAAAAUACCUUUGUGAAGAUCUAAUUGAGGUACAUAACCAUUUUCAACAUUUGGGAUUCCUACUCGAACGAACAUGAUAGUCUUCCGUCUGGCCGGCAGCAGAAUACUUUCUUUAUCCGAGAAAGGAAUUUCAACAUCAUCGAUG
rnacentral:misc_RNA from 1 species